CAUGGCUCAGGAUGAACGCUAGCUACAGGCUUAACACAUGCAAGUCGAGGGGCAGCAUGAUCAAAGCUUGCUUUGAUUGAUGGCGACCGGCGCACGGGUGAGUAACGCGUAUCCAACCUUCCCCUUAGUAGGGCAUAGCCCGGCGAAAGUCGGAUUAAUACCCUAUGUUAUUCGUCGAGGACAUCUGAAGUGAAUCAAAGAUUUAUCGCUAAGGGAUGGGGAUGCGUCUGAUUAGGUUGUUGGCGGGGUAACGGCCCACCAAGCCAUCGAUCAGUAGGGGUUCUGAGAGGAAGGUCCCCCACAUUGGUACUGAGCCAGGAUCAAACUC
rnacentral:rRNA from 1 species